rnacentral:rRNA from 1 species
AUUGAACGCUGGCGGCAGGCCUAACACAUGCAAGUCGAGCGGAUGAAGGUAGCUUGCUCCUGGAUUCAGCGGCGGACGGGUGAGUAAUGCCUAGGAAUCUGCCUGGUAGUGGGGGAUAACGUCCGGAAACGGGCGCUAAUACCGCAUACGUCCUGAGGGAGAAAGUGGGGGAUCUUCGGACCUCACGCUAUCAGAUGAGCCUAGGUCGGAUUAGCUAGUUGGUGGGGUAAAGGCCUACCAAGGCGACGAUCCGUAACUGGUCUGAGAGGAUGAUCAGUCACACUGGAACUGAGACACGGUCCAGACUCCUACGGGAGGCAGCAGUGGGGAAUAUUGGACAAUGGGCGAAAGCCUGAUCCAGACAGGCCGCGUGUGUGAAGAAGGUCUUCGGAUUGUAAAGCACUUUAAGUUGGGAGGAAGGGCAGUAAGUUAAUACCUUGCUGUUUUGACGUUACCAACAGAAUAAGCACCGGCUAACUUCGUG